UUUGAUUGAUCAGUUUCCUGCUUUCCAUUUUAGAUAUCAUUGGGGUUGUUAGUUCUCUGGAUAGCUUUCUUUUCAAUGUUAUCUAUCAUUCUGUUUUGAACUAGACUUUUGAAAACGUUGUCAUUGGUGUGGGUUUUUUCUUCAAAAUGUUAUCACUCUUUCAAUUUCAUUAUGAAAGAAAUAUUUUCGUUUUCAAUAAAUCUGUAGUUACUAAUUAGUUAUCUAGUUAUAUUAUUAUUAUGAUUUACUGUUUUUCUCCAAAUAUAUCAGACUAGUUAUGAUUUUUUGAUCAGUCCUUUACUAUCUCACACUCUGACACAUCACCUCAUAUAUCAGUACCUCAGAGCACUGAGUCUUCAGGUAAUAUACUUCAAACAAGAACAACAAUUUUAGAAUCAGCUUAGACUCAAAUACAAGAAUCAUAAAGGAGAUACCUUAUAGAAUCAUAAAACAACCAACCUAUCUUAAUUAAGGAUUAUGUAUGCUUGAACACUCAAUUCAUUAAAUUUGAGCCUAAUUCCUUUAAAAAAGCUUUUAAAGAUGAGAGCCGAAAGGAAGCUAUGAAUGAUGAAAUGGAUGCAUUACAAAAGAACAACACAUGGUCCUUGAAUCUUGAUUCCUAUUGACAAAAGCAUAAAUGUUAUAAGGUGUAAAUGGGUAUAUAAAGUCAAGACCAAAUUUGAUGGAUCAAUAGAUAGAUAUAUAUAAGACAAGAUUAGUUGUUAAGAGCUACAAUCAAGAAGAAGAGGUAGAUUACAUCCUUGUAAUUAAAUUUUUUUCUUUCUCGAGAGGGUUAAUUUUAAAUAUUUAACCAAAUUUAAAAAUAAUUUUUUUCAAUUUAAUUGUUCUCGACGAGAUGUCAUAUUUUGGUACCGAUACAUAAUAUUAUCAUUAUUAACAUAAAAAAUUAAAUCUUUUUCAACAUAUGUUAUUAAAAUAUCAUUCAACAUCAUUCAUACGAUUGUGGUAACUUGAUUUCAUAAGAUUCAUUGCUGAAAAAGAAUUUUCCACUGAAACAUUCGCAACUGGUAAUAUGAGUGUUAAUUUUAACAAACAAAAUACCCAAAAAAAUACGAUAUGUUUUCUCUUCUCAAUCAACUUUCUAAUUUCAUUCAAAUUCGAAAGUUUUUCGUUAUUACGUACAUGAAAAAUAUAUUCUGACAGUUUAUUUUCAAAAGCUCUAAUGUCAACAGUAGAAAAAUUUAUAGGAUAAAAUUUCGCUAAAUUUAGUACUUUUGUUUUAUCAUAAAAACGAAAUUCAUUAUCCGACGUCAAACAACUUAUGUUUUAAAUUAGAUCCAUAUUUGAUGUUGCAAAACGACUAUUCAACUCUUUCAACUGUUUGUCAACAACUAGAUUAAACAAUUCAGCACGAUAUCGAUGAAUAUUUGUUACCUUUUGAAGUAAACGUUUUGAUCUACCAGGGGAAAUAAAACUGUCUUCCAUUAUAGGAACAUCGAUUUCAUUCUCUAAAUAAAAAGUUGAUAUUGUAGUUAGUAUUUAGUAAUGUUUUCCAACCUUCAUCUCGUAACAUUUGCAAACGAGUUUGAAAAUUAAACAUCAUUUCUAUCACAUUCACGAUAUCCUGUUCUUUUCGUUGCAAUGUCUGUGACAUACGAUGUGUAAUAGAUAGUCUCUUUCAUAAAAUACAAAGUAAUCAUAAAUUCAUUGAUCUUUUUUCGCAAUUUUAUAUCGGGAGGUAAUUUACUUACAUCGAGUGACUCUCGAGAUGGUUGUGGAUUGGACGAUGAAAUUGAAAUUGAUUGAUUUAUUCUAAGUCUUUUGAUUACAAAUUUAUACAUUUGUUUUUUUUUCUUUGUGUAAAGUUAUGACCACGGACGAAUGAAGGUGUGGAGUUGUGGUGAGUGGUGUCAAAAAAUAAAAAGAAUGAAAAAGACGGAGGAGAGGAAAAAAAACGAAAUUUUUAAAUCCUUAUCCGUUUUACAAGUUAUGCUGAAGACACUGUAGGUGGCCUUAUCCGUGUUUUCUUCUAGUUCUAAUGUUCCCCUUUUUAGAAUGAUUUAUGGACUGAUGAUUCGUGGGAAAAGUCGAAACGAGUUCAAAUGGCUGACUCUUCCCUUCCUACUUUAGCUUAGCUUGUCUUUUCCGAUUGCUGUUCAAAACUGGUAGAUGGGUGUGUUUGUUUUUAUGCAUUUUAUUGAGCCGGUGGUUGCGGUUCAAAACUAGCAAUUUUCUUGAGACCGCAAAAGGACAGUAAAUACAGACUGUACGUACAGUACUGGAACACCUACCACCAUCGGCUAUAGCGUUAUCAUCUUGAGCAUCGCAAAUAUCUUCCAAGGGUUCCAAAUAUCUUGAUAGAAUGUUUAUCAUGAAGAAGAAACCUGCAAAAAACCCAAAUAAGAAGAAACCUAGAAGAAGAAACACAAAGAAGAUCAAACUGAACUAUUUAUUACAGGUCCAAAAGUAUGUUCUAUUUCAACUAAAUCCUUUAACGUUGAAAUCAUUUAUUUUCCUUUCUGGGCCAGUCCGGACUCCAGACUUUUGGGCUUGUGUAGAUAAUCCAUUUAACCUGAUAAAUGAAUCCAUUAGUGAUAUUUAUUUUAUUAAACAUGAUUAAGUAAUAAUUGUGAAGUAAAUGUUAUUUAUUUAUAACUAAUAACCUUAAAAUUUAUAUCGGAUCCAUUUUCGAUUCGACACGUCCGUUCCGGCGACUCGCUGCGAAUACCAUUGCGAGUGGAGUUCGGGAGUGCCGUCCACCAUCGUGAGGCCGGAACUGGAAUGGAGUUCGUGAAUCGUGAGUUCGCGAUGGGUCAAAAACCCGGAACCACCAACUAUAUCUCUGGGAACUCAACACGGAUUUCAGGUACCGUCCUCCGUUCCCCCGCAAUGCAGUUCCUCACGCGUCGACCGUCAGAUUGCCUUCAAUGACCAUCUGUGUAAGGUAUCGCACCCAGUUUCAGAGACCGACACCGCGUAUUAAUAGAUGUUCUUGUUACUUUUAUUGUCCUUUCUUGUUACCUGGAUCCAGAUGUAGACCAACCCAGGUCUGUUUUGGCCCAUUCUUUCUUUAUUAAAUAAAUAAAUAUUGUCCAAACAUCCAAACCUAAAGCUCAACCCUAAGUCCUAACCAUAAUCGCCUCUAAUCAGUCGAAGCAAUGCCUUCCGUCGUCGCUGCCGUCCGGCCACUUGUCUCCGUGCAAGCAUUGGACGGAGACAUGAUCGUCGAUGGUCCGAACUCCGUUCCUCUCCCCGAUGUUAUGAAGACUCCCAUUCGUCCCGAUAUCGUUAGAUUUGUACAUUCGCAAAUGUCGAAUAACACCCGGAUUCCUUACGCCGUCUCUAAAAAUGCUGGUCAUCAGACAUCUGCAGAGUCAUGGGGCACUGGUCGUGCGGUGUCACGUAUCCCUCGUGUUGCCGGAGGUGGUACUCAUCGGGCCGGUCAGGGAGCAUUUGGAAAUAUGUGUCGCGGAGGACGCAUGUUUGCCCCCACAAAGAUUUGGCGCAAGUGGCACCGAAAUGUCAACGUCAAUAUUAAAAGACACGCGGUUGCUUCAGCUCUCGCUGCAUCUGCAGUUCCGUCUCUUGUUCUUGCUCGAGGUCAUAGGAUACAAUCGGUUCCCGAGUUACCGCUAGUGGUAUCUGAUUCUGCAGAGGGAGUUGAGAAAACUUCAUCUGCUCUUAAGGUCUUGAAGGAGAUCGGAGCCUAUGCUGAUGUAGAGAAAGCAAAAGACAGUCACUCCAUUCGAGCUGGAAAGGGUAAGAGCAGGAAUCGCAGGUACGUUAAUCGCAAGGGACCUCUAAUUGUGUACGGAACCGAGGGAUCCAGCAUUGUCAAGGCUUUUCGUAAUCUUCCCGGAGUUGAUAUCGUCAACGUUGAGCGUCUCAGUCUCCUCCAAGUUGCUCCUGGAGGUCAUGUCGGAAGGUUCAUCAUCUGGACAAAAUCUGCAUUUGAAAAACUUGACGAGAUUUUCGGAACAUAUGAGAAAGAAACUAAGAAGAAGAAGGGUUAUGUUCUUCCAAGGUCCAAGAUGACAAAUCCUGAUCUAUCUAGGGUUAUCAAUUCUGACGAGGUUCAAUCUGUUGUUAAGCCUAUCAUUACUGAGGUAAAGAAGGCGACGACAAAGAAGAACCCUCUAAAGAAUAUAAAUCUUAUGCUUAAGCUCAACCCUUAUGCAAAAACAGCCAAGAGGAUGUCUCUUCUUGCCGAGACACAGAGAAUUAAGGCAAAGAAUGAAAAAUUGGCUAAGAAGAGGAGCCCUCUUAGCAUGGUAAUCCCGUUAUAUUUCAAUUUAUUUUAGCAAUUUUUUUGUUUGUUUGUUUUUUAGUAUUUUUAUGCGAUAAUGUGUUGAUUGAAAAUUUGAAAUAUCUUGUUUACUUUCAAAUCAUUAAUUUUUGUUUCUUUUUCUUCAGGUUCUAUUUUUUCUCUAUAUUAUGCAAAUUAGAUUUUUGUGUUUGUCAUAUAGUUAAUAGCUUUUGCCAUUUUUUCAAUUAAUUUUAGAUUUUGUGUCUUCUAUGUACAGUGUACUGUUUUGGUUCUAAAUUGUAAUUGAUAUUUGUAUUUGAUUUUUAAUUUUUUUAUUUCGUAUUCUUAAGGUUUUUUUGCCACUUUUUCCAAUUGAUUCUAGAUUUUGUUUGUAGGAACAUAAAGUUCUGGAUGAUUUGUGAUCUCUCAUUAGUAUUAUGAAUAUCAUUUUUUGUUUGUUGUAUCAUUUGUAUGCUUGUAGAGUUGUAUGUAGUUACUUGUAUUUUUAUUGUACUAUAAUUUUAUAUGAAUUCUGAGCUCAUUGAGAAUUAUUUGAGUGCAGGAAGAGGUAGCCAGAAUUAAAGCCGCUGGGAAGGCAUACUAUAAAACAAUGAUUUCUGAUUCUGAUUAUACAGAAUUUGACGUCUUCACCAAAUGGCUUGGAGUAACACAAUGAUUUUCUCAGUUUCACCAAUCAAUUUUUGUUCCUCUGAUCUUACUUACUUGCAGUUCUGUCUGAUGUUUCGUUGAUCUUGUAUCAUUUCUGCUGUGUUUUUGUUACUGGUUGAGUCUGAACUUUUACCAUUGGAUAAUGUUUAUCCUGUAUUUGAGUUUUUGUAAUGUUCGUUCGACAAGGAUUUUUGUCUUAGAUCAUGAUUAGUGUAGUUUUGGCUCUUAUGAUUGAUUAGUAAAAACAUUGAUAAUUUUUUUCGUUCUUGAUUGUUUAUUUCCUUCAAAGUUGCAGAGAAAUAAUUGGAAAUUGGAAGUUAUGGUGAUGUCAGAUGUGAACUUUUGAUUGUUUGAGAAAGAGAAUUUAAAAACCUAAAUAUCUUGUAAAUAUAACAUGUUUGUGAGGGUAAAUGGGUAAUAAUGUAAAUGAAUUUAGAAUAUAUUUUUGAGAAAUAAAUGUGUUUUUCCAUUAUUCGAGGGUAAUUUUUCUUAUUGCAACUUUCGAAAUUCCAAAUGAAGCGGCGUCACUACGUCGGUUCUUCUCAGAUUCAUCUCGUGCGUUUCUUCUUCGUAGCUGUAAAUCCUGUGAGUUUGUGACUGAUUUUUCACAAUGAAAAGGUAACACAGAUCUAAGGUUUUGCGAUUAUCGUUUUUGUUUUAGGGUUUUCCGAAUUGGUUUCAGAUAAAUAAUAAUCUUAUGAUUUAAUGCUUAAUUCUAAUUUUUUAUUUUAGGGUUGUAGUCUUCAAUUCUUCACCCUCCCUUCUUGACUUCCCUCCUAGCUCCGGUAACCUUGCACGUUGCACCUGAAGUUCCAGUGUUACUGAUGUGCAGAAAGAGUUAUCGUCCCCGAUCCUAAUUCUUCUCUUAGUUUCAGUCCUAUUUCCUAUUGCAGAUUUUGUAGCCCUCGAUUUCGUAUUGCAGAAAUUCCGACGCGUUCGCUCUGUGAUUCUUGGGCAGUCUCUGGCUAUUUCGAUUUUGUCUCCGAUUUAAGGAUUUAGGUUUUUCUUGGAUUCUCUUUUAUUCUCUGAUUUAUCAUUUUCAAAAUUUAGUUCUGAUUUCUCAUUUCAUUUUGAUUUAGUCUCACGAUUUAGUUCUGAUUUUUAUAUUUCAAUCAAAUUUAGUUAUGAUUUUUACAUUUCAAUCAGAUUUAGUUUUACGAUUUUUCAUUUUCUCCUGAAGGGUAAAGUCAAAAUCUGUAAAUCUUGUUUAUUAUAAUAUCUUGUUGGAUUUGUAUGUUUUAAACUUUUAAUAAGGUCUGAUUUUUUUAAUAUUUGUAUGUUUUAUUUAUCUUGUUUUUUACAGAGAAUUAUUUAAAAAUUAAAAGUACAACGGUUAUUUUGUUAAAAUUAUUUUAAAUCUUAUUUUUUGAAAAUUUAAGGUUUUUCUAUAUAAAAUUAUUCAAAUUUGGAUAUUCCGGAUAUCCAAAAAAUUAGGCGAAUUUUGGAUUUCUUAUUCGAUUAUUAUUCAGACGGAUUCGGAUUAUCCGGAUAUUUCCCUGAUUUGAAUAUCUUGGUAUCCCAGCCGAAUCUGUCCGAAUAACAGGCUUAAUUACAAGUACACCAUUGUUUCACAUUCCCAAUUUGCCAAGAUUUAAUUUUCUUCUUUUCAUUUGAUUUUUCAUCCGAUCAGUGGAAACAUGUUCAUCGAACUUGACAAGCUCCCAAUCAACCGAGUCGAGGCUGUCGAUGACUCUGGAAUUGAACGGUUUCCUUUGUAUGACACCUCCCAUUACUUAAAUUUUCCAUUCACUAUCUUCUUCUUAUCUCUUCUCUUUUCAAAUCCUCCCUCUUCGUCGUCUUAUAUGGUUUAUGUGUGCUUUCAGAGAUGUUGAUCCGGAAGAGAGGAAAGUGGAUUUGAUUCGAAAGUUAGAUUUCUCAAGUGAGGUGGAGAAAUAUACCAAGAGAUCGAGAAAUGGCUCAGAUGAAAUUGCUAAGGAGAAAAAUAAGAAACCACCUGGUUCCACUUCUUGGCCUUGGCAGUCUUUGAUAGAAAGUAUGCAAGCUGCACAUCAGGAGCUUUCUGUUAUAAUUGACAUCAUCAACACGGUAUUAUUUGUUUUUUCCCUCUAAUUUGGUUUUGAUUCCUUGAAUUCUCUUGCAAUGUGUGCUUAGCAAAUUAGCUAAUGUUGGAAGUUGGAACUUAAAAUUGCCGAUGCUGCUACUAUUACUAUUGUAUUUGAAUACUAUUCAAUUAUGUAAUAUGCAGUGUUACUAUAGAUUAAGAUUCUUGUAUGGCUGGUUUUGUAGCAUUAUACUAACUAUUGAAAACAGUAAUAAACGAAUGCUUUCAAUUAUGGCUACAUAAGAGAAUUAUUUUGAUUGUUAUUUCAUUUGUUAGUUAUCUGAGAACUAAUUUUCUAUCAGCUAUAAGUUUUUAUCGAAAUAACCAGUAGCACUCUGUUCCAAUUUUAAUUAACCAGAGUACUUUUUGUACACGACUUCUAGAUGUCAUUUGAUAUGCUAAAUCUUUUUCUUUUGUGAUUGAUAUAGGUAGAAGCAAAUGAUGCGGUAACAGUUGCAGGAAUGACAAAACCAAAGCCAUUGACCAAUGAAAUUUUGUCAGAUCUUUCGGUAUCCACUGCAACCAAGCUUCAAUCUAUUCGGGUACAUUUUUUUAAAACUCUUGUCUAGUUCAUAUUUUAAUCAUUGUGGCGUGUUGAAUGUUGUACAUUACUACAAUUACGAAGAACCAAGCAGUGUGCACUAGGCACAAUACUUGUCAUUGGAAGAUACAUAUAUCAUAACAAAUACCUAAUUCCCAUUGUUAGCAAACAUCAAUGGUGAUUAAUCAACAUACCCACACUGUUCUGAAUUGUUGCUAAGAAGCUUACAUCUAAAUAUUUUAUAGGAUUAGUAACCAAAUGUCUAGCAGACAGUAUUGUUUAAGCACCUUUUCUCACAACAUCUAGAAAUAAUUAUCCUCUGGGGCCUGGACACAUCCAUAUAAACACGUAGAAGUGCUCGAUUUCAGCGUAAUAUCAUACUAAUAUUACACCACACCUUUUGUUGUCUACUAUUAUUUUUAUUGAACUAAUAACAUAUUUAUUCACUUUCAGCAUCUUGGAAAGUAUUUUAAACAAGGUUCAAAAUCAUUUGAAAAGUUAGUUGCGAAGGAGACUCGUUUCUACAAUGCACUAAUCAGGUAGUUGUCAUGGUAAUAUUUUUUAUUUUGUUUUGUCAAAUAAUAUACCUUAUUUUCUCAAUUUUCAAAAGAUUACAGCAAAACUGGAAAGUGAAACGGCACCGUCUAACCAUAUCUGGUCAUAGCAAUGAGGGUUUCACAAUUGAUUUGAUGGACAUAUCAUCGUCAGAAUCUAACACAUUUCCUCGUCCUUUUUCGACAUCUAUUAUCCGUGUCGAUCGUGACCUAAAUGGAAAAUUAGUUGUGCAAUUACCCUUGCGAUCAUUCCGCUCUCUGUAUUUUAGAUUCUUUGAUAGCAAUUCAAGUCGUAGAUUGCUACAUUCACUAAGGAGUAAAAUGCAUAGCAUAACUAACAAGUUUCCUCUAGAUGGUAAUAAUGAAACUGUUGUUGAAAAUGUCAAUGAAUGUGUAAAGGGAUCCCAUUCUGUUCUUCGCAACAUCCAUUUAUCACUCUUUGAAGAGAAGGUACUUUGUUCUCUAUUUAAUAUUUACAUUUCUUGUUUUCCCUUUGAAGUAAUUUCUUAUAGAAUUGAUUAUUUCCAGGUCUUUGAUUUUGUAAUUCAUGAAGCAUUAGCUUCAUUGUCAGGGGUCGAAAUCGUUACAUUAUAUGAGAAUUUUCUGAAAUUGGGGGUAGGAAAAGGAGCAUCUGUAAAUUUAUCCCUUAUGUUAUCUGAUGAGGCUGAUCCCAAGCCAAUAUUUGACGAUCCUUGUGAGGAAAAUAUUGAUUCUCAUACAAACUUAUUGGAAGAGUUGGAUAUUGACAGAGAACACAAUACAUUCAAGGAAACUAUCACGAGAUUUCCAAAUGCAGCAUGUUUUCAAAUUCAUCUAACAUCUACGGUACAUGAAUAUAUGUCCAGUCGUGCAAAAGAAGGAUGUCGUGAUGAGAUUGGACUUAUAAGUGAUUUUUGCAUGACUGGAGCUCACAGUAUAUUUUCCCAGAAGGUGUUAUCAGAUUUGGAAACUCUGGUAUUGAGGCACAAUAAUUUCAUUUAUACACUUAAAGUUAUUUAUGAUUGAGUUUUUUCUUUCUAAUUCUCUCUCUCUUUAUAUGUACUAUGAAGGCAAGUGGAAUUCCAUAUCUUCGUUUGCUGACCCAUCCAACUUGGCAUUCUCGGAUCUCAUCAUGGUCGCUUUUCGUAAAGCUUCCACAAUCCAUUCUAAAUCCUUUAAAUGCACACAAAAUGAGAAGCGAGUUCAACAUUAAAGUGACGGUCACUGAUGAUUGUGUCAAGGUCACUGGAAUUGGUUCACCUAAUGUAAUAGAUUCAUUUAGUGGCAAUUCAUCAUUUUCAAAGUCAGUUUAUUCUUAUUAUGAUCGUAACUUGGUUGACUUGAAGAUGAGCCUUCUACUUAAGGUACGAUCAAUAAUUUGUACAGUCUAAAGUCUAAACUUUAGACUUUAGAUGACCAUUACUUGGAUGUCUCAUCAUGAUGUUUGUUGAAACAGAUAGCUUGUCAGUUGAUCCAAUGGCUCCAUGAAGAGGCUCUGGUAUUAGGGCUCAUAGCAAGUAGAGACUUUUUAACUUUAAAUUUUGACAUAGCCGAAGGUAGCAAUAUGAAGUUGAUGGCACAUGUGGACGUCAAAGAUGGUCAUUGCAGCAUAUCAUGGUCGAUGGUGGUAAAUGAAAACGAUGGCAAACCUCUCACCGAAUAUUCUACCACCAAGUCUGAGGGGACCAUAACGUUCCUGGGCUAUUUAUCGCUAGAAACAUUGUAUUCUAUUUUAAUGGAUCUGGUUAGCUUUUGCAACAACCCCUUAAACCUUGUAGUCUCAUCUCACCCCAACAUUUUCUCUAGUUAAUAAACUAAUUAUGUUGUAAUUAGUUUGCUUGUACAGGUAGAUUCUUUAAAUAUUUUUUUUGUUUACAUUUAUUGCUUUUUUAUGACUUGUGAGAUCGUGUCUUGAGGCUUUUGUGUUAAAGAAAAUUUGAAAGUGUCAAAUGCUAGACUUCAGCUGGUAUCUGUGUGUGUAUAAUUGUAUCUGUAAGUCUUUGAUUAAGAUUCCUUCCUUUCUAUUUCCAUCUAGGAUGGUCAUGUGGGGAUUUGUUGAUUUAAAUAUGUCACGACUCGCAUAAACCCAUUAUAAACACUAAAAUUGAUAAGGAAAUGAGAAUCAAACAGAAAUUAGGUAGAUGAUCAUUUGCAUUAUUUAAAGAAUUCAUUGUUGUUCCUGAUGCAAGUUUAUGUCAGGUUAAAUCCUGAAUAGACGCUAUUGAUUACUUAAAAUAGAGCCAUGAGCGCUACCCCUCUGAAUGAAAGAAACAAUCAAUUUCACAAGUUGUUUUAACAGGACACGGAUAUUAAUUAUAACACGGACAUUGGUAAUAAUAACCAUCCAUUCAUAAUCCAAGUGCGGUCUAAAUAUUGAAGAAAAUUAACAGUAAAAUUGAUAAGGUAUAUUACAUUAAUUAAAGAUAAUUGAGGUUCAACACACAACAGAAAAAUGAACUAUUUUAAUUAAUCUUGAAAUCCAGGUAUGAAAGAGUCCCAAUUAAUUGUUCAUGGAUCCUGGCAUCCUGCUGUGAAGUUUUUUUUUGAACCUGGAUGUUUUGAAGCCAAGUGCCUUCACACAUUGCUGGAAAAUGACUUCUUUUACUGAUCUCAGAUUUCUCUUGGCAUAUUGCCCAAGAUAGAGCAGUUUAGCAAUGACCAAUGAAGGCCCCAAUUUUUGUGUGGAAUGAGGUAGAUUGUUGACCUUUCUAAAUACUAUUUCAAAAGUGCCCGAUGAGGUUUGAUAUGAUGCUAUUUGCUGCUUUUUAUUACAAUGCAUAGUUAUUACAAUGGAUAUUAGUAUAAACUACAGAGUACAGACUAUGAAAGGAUCUGAAGAAUAAAGUUAACUUAGGUUUGGAAGCUAAUGUGAGAUCUUAAAGAAAGAAAUUAUGAUCCCACUAAGACAAAGUCAAGGAAGACUCAUGAUUUUAAAUAAGAAGAUAAAGUCCUCAGGAAGAUUCUUCAUGAAUCAUGAUCACCUACCUGCCAGGCUGCAAAACAUAUAAGUAAAAAAAUAGCAUAUUUGCUGAAAGUCUGAAACCCACAUGCCUUUGUACAGAAAACACAAACACAAUGUUUACACUUCAUUUACAUGUUUAAUCUCACACUAGAAGUGAUUCCAUGUUUCAAUUAGAUAUUAUUCCAUGAUAUCAUAUUUCUAUUCAUUGAAUUCAAUACAACCAACUACAAAUAUACCCUUGAAAAGUUACGAUCAAUGCAAAAUACAACUGAAUUUCCUGUGCAGCCAAUGUAUGGACUAAUUUACUUGCAUCCUAUAUCUUUGCAAGUAUUGGUUUAUAAGGUAUUCAUCAAUAUCUCAGUUCCUUAAGAAACCUAAAAGAUUGACCUGUAAUAUUAACACGAAGAACACAUAUGACUAGACUAAAGCAUGGAAUUAUAAGUGUAAUAAAUAGAAAAUAGAAGGUUAUUCAUAAUGUAGAUGUGGAAUAGAUCACAAAAUGAUAUCUGCCAGGCAAAAAUAUAAAAAUCAAUUUAGUUGUUGAAAUAAUUAACAAUCACCGUUCACCAUAAAUUGGUCCAUAAUGUGCCAGGCGAAAAAUAAAGAAUACCCAACCAUCAUUUUGGACCUUUGAUGUAAGCUUUAAAGCUUCCAACUCUGUUCCUGGAAAAUCCACAAGUAACAACAGUUAUAUUGUUUGAAUGUAUCCUCAAGAUACUGAAGGCAAUGACCAAUGGUUGAACACGAAGCACUGCGAAGUUUAGCUCUGUACAAAUCAAUAAAUAUGAAGAUGCACAAAAUGAAAAAAAGCAUAUUAAAAAUAAGUUGGUAAUUUGAAUCCCAUACAGAUUUAUAUGCAUAAAUUUAUAGAAGAUUAUAUUAACAAUUUUUUCUCAACCAUCUUGGAGAGUAGGAAACACCUUGAAACAUAAGUAUGUGAUUAAUAAUAAUUAACAAAUAGAAAUCUGUCAAUUAGCGGUUGUUUACAGACCACAUGUCCUAACUAAAACACAGAAUAAUUGUAUUAUAUGCAUGUGUUAAUUCUCUAAGAAAUUUAUAAACUAACAUUUUUCCAUUCCUUUCUAUGGCCAAAUACAAAUAUGAGAAAUCUUGUAAUGUAUACAAAAAGCUCUUUUCUUUCUACAAUGCUUUGAUGCUAGUACUACAGACCAAUAAGACUGUUUCUAAGUAAUGAGAAUUGAUAACAAACUGUCAACUAUGAAAGCUUUUUUGACUCACCGGAUACUAAAUGCUUUAGUUCCGAUAGAUGUUCAUCAGUUGAAAUAUGAAGAAAAAGACGGAGGUUUGUCAUUAAUGCUUGUUGUUCCCAACUUAUGGGUCCAGAUGCAAAUAAUAAGUUCAUAGUUAAACGAUAGGCAUUCAGCUCCAAUUUGUGAACUUCUGCAUGUACAUCCAUUUCUUGUUUAGUGGUAUGUUUCCAGGAAGAUUUCAAGGCAUCAAAAGAAUGAGCAUCAUCAGUAUAAUCAUUUAAAUCAAGAUGACAUCCAGUCAAUACAUCUAGAUUAUUACUACCAAUGGAGCUGCAUAUAGAGAGAAUUUUAUUUUCCAAUCCAUUAGGUUCUGAGCUUCUUCCCUGGGAAAAUGCAACUUCAGUCUUGCAUUUGCUCCAUCUCUGUUUCAUUUCAGAUUUUUCAGCUCUAUUCUCAGAACAAUUAUCAACGAGCAGUGUAGAAGAAUUUCCAGCAUCCAACUGUUGCUGAUUGAGAAGUUUCUGAACAGCUCUCUGAUUCUUAGAUUUUUUAAUAUUUUGAAAGAGUGGAAACUCUGAUUUUCGUUUUGUGCCACACUUUAAAUACUUACUCGAAAAGCCUAUAUUCUUUUUUACUGGAGUGAUUCCAAGUGUAUCAUUUUGAACCGUUUUGCAUUGUUCAGAAUGGAUCAACUCUAACUCAUCAGCACUGCGAUAUCUCCCACAGGUAUAACUACUGAAAUUCUGCGUGUAAAUAAAAAAAAGAUUAGAUAAUAUUUGACCUUGAUGAAAAAUCAACACAACAAUAUAUAACAAUACCAAAAGUACAUGCAAUAUCAUUGUAAAAAACAAUUGUGAACAAACAAUUUACCUUUCUAAUCACCACCCAUUUACCAUCUUCCCAUGUCUGCCGUAUUCUCACAUUCAAAUAAUGUAUUUUUAUUGACCAAAAAGAUCCAAGAAGCCUCACAGUGUAAUGGUUUUCAUCCAGCACCAUAAGUAAUUCAGAAAUCUUCCAAGACCCAUUGUCGAAAGCUUCAAUCAUAUCACCAGUUUCCCAGUCAGCAGGUAGUUUAUUUGAAGGAGGGCAAGGCCGGAUAGAUUUUCUAGAAACUCUUUCCACAUCUGACAUAUCAGGUGAGGGACACUGAUACCUUACGUUGUAAUAUCGACCAUUACCAGAUAUUAUCUCUGCACGCCACCAAGAACCCGUAGGCGUCUCUCUCAUGUUCCGCACCUCUACUUUAAAUCCUUUUUCGAAGAUCAUGUUUAUUUUGAGUUAGCAAUGGAAUCUCUUGAUCCUGUUCACAACAUGACAUAGAUUAGGAUAUCAACUCAGCACUUUAUUAGGGAAGAUUGAUAAUCUAUUCUAACAACCCAAUAAAAAAAAUCCAGUAGAAUAAUAGAAUAGAAUCAACAUAAUCGCAUAAAUCAUUUCAAAUAAAUUUGAACGUUGUAUGUUAACAGAGGAAUAAUAACACAAGUUAGCAGCAUAUAAUUAUUUAUUAAAGGGGAAAUAUCCAGGUUCCCACUUUUUCUCGUCAAAUAUAAAGUAAAUAAAUACAAAACUCACAACAUCAAGUUGGAAGAAAAGAAAGAAGAAGAAAACAUUUACAGAAAGAGAGAUCUGAAAAUGCACUAUCUAAAAGUCUGAAACAUCUACAAAUCUCGAACAAAAACGUCUUAAAUAAAAGUCUAAAUUCACUGCGACAUUGAUGAAAAGCCGGAAAGUAAAGAAAACCACAAAAUCUACAAUCUGAUGAUCGCAGCAAUAUGUUAAGAAUAAACUGAGAAAUUCUGGAAAAAAUAAACUAAAUAUAAAAGCAUCAAUCAACAUAUUAAAAAAAAAACAAAACAUUUCUAAACCACAAAUCACCAGAUUCUCAACAACAGUCUACAUCCACUACCAACAACAAUCGAAAACAAGAACAGAAACCCCAGAAUAAAGAGCGAAAACCAAACAUUCGCACAAAUUCAUCUUUCUUUCCACAACCACAAUCAAAUAAAAACACAGAACCGCACGAGCGAGGGGGAAAAAAGAUGAACAAUCUCAAAAAAAAAAAAAAAAAAUCACUGACCUGGAAAAGACGAUCACACACAGAUUACAGCAGAUUACAGCAGAUUAACGAUUUCUUUCCUCCCAAGGAUUAUCGAUCAACACAAAGAUUCAGAAAUAUUGGAAUCAGUUAUCUCUUUACCGCGUCCUUCUCUCCGAACUUUAUAUCUCUCGUUCUUCCUCUUCUUCCACUGCACACCGGAAAUUUGCAGAAGGGUGGAGAAUUCAGAAAAAAUUUAGAAUGGUGGGCCGUGAUAAAAUAAGCCAAGUUUUUUUUUUUUGUUGUUGUUGCGUAAAAUAACCCUGGAAUUUUUCGAAAUUACUUGACGUCGUGCGUGCCCGGUUUCAGCAACCGAGUCUCACCAUUUGCUGCGAUUGCCACGUCAGAUGCCUUUUUAUUGUUGGAAUGGGUUUUGCAAAUGGUGCAAUUCUGUCCAUUCGAUCUCAGAUAUCUAUAGUAAAUUAAAUCUGUUUUAAACUUAUAAUUAGAAAUGAAGGUUUAGUGUUAAUCUCCUUCCUCUGUUUACCUAAUUUAGCAGUGGGUAAUUAGCAUCAUUAUUCAUAAGUACAGACCAUAAUAACAUUAUCUGUUGUAGUAGCUUUAAAAGAAAGUUAAGUAGUAGUAGUUAACUUAACUUCCAAACAAUCAAUUGAGUGGUGGUGAACAAAAUGAAACAAGAUAAAAAAAAAAAAGACAGACAAUACGCAAACGACAUACCUUGUCCACAAGUAAGGAUUUCGGAUCAUCAACCCUAUCUAUCCUUCAAAACAUGUCCAGGACAAAUGGCUUUCAGAUGAAAUUACAAAUUGCAAAACAACAAGCAUGUUCCUUGUGUCUAUCUUUUUUUUUGCUUCAUUUUCUACUAGACUGACUAUUUAUUAAAUGGGUAGCAAAGAAUUAGGCAUUCAUGGUUCUGGUUCAGGAGCAAAAGGAAUUGGCUUAGUUGGAGCAGGUAGACGGCCGAUACUGUCGACCUUAUCACGUAUCUUCGGUGGAGGUCGAGCAGGGCGUGGUAACAAUCGUCUCUUCUUUUCAAACCAUUCUGGUUUUAGUAGAGCUCGUAAUCCAAGUUUGUUGUAAUGAACUUUCCUCACCGAUCCACCUGCUGCUUCAACAGCUUCCUUAGCUCUAACGGUCACUCUUGACACCUGGAGAGAAUUUAAAUAUCAAUCAGAAUAUAAAACACCUAAAGCUAUCCAAGUAAUCAAUCACAAGUCGAUAUUUAAGUAAAAGAAAACAAUCAGUUGAUGAAAUAACAAUAAAAAUUGAUAAGAAAACAGCAUACCUCGAGGUGGAUCGGCCACUGGAUUUCUUCAGCACCACGACCCAUCAACCUAACACCAUCCUCAAUUUGCUUACCAACAGCACCGGUGUCCUGAGUGUAACAUAAAAAACAGUUAACAGCGCCAUUCAAAAUCCAUAUAAUCUAGUCAAAGCAUAAUAAGAAAAGAGCAAUACUACCUUGAGAGUUUUCAUAGUAAUAAGUUCCGACGAGUCAAUUUUUCCAGCAUUUAUGAGCUUUGCUAUCUUUCCCAAACCAAUUGGCUGAAAUAAAAUAAAAAUACCAUCACAAUAAAUAAAUCACUCAAUUCCAAUUAAAAUCAGUUGUCCACUUAUGCAAUGCUAACUAAGCAGUUGGAAUUUUUAAGAUAAUCCAAAAGAAAUUGAAAGAACUAAGCAAUACAGGACAGUAAGUCCAUAAGAAAUAUGCACUUUACUCACUCGCUUAAAUCCAGACAACAACGGUGUUUUUAGUACAAAAUGCAGUAGGAUAAAAUCACCUAAAAUCAGAGAUUGGGGGAUUCAAGCAUUUCUGAAGCUGGUCUUUUUAUUUUUUGAGUCGCUCUAAAAAAACCGAAGCAAUGAUACUGGCUCUAGUUUUAUGGUGAUUCACAUCAGAAUAUCAGAUAUCUAAUCUGUUACAAUGUGCGAUGCAACUCAUCCAAGUCGAUUAAAAUCUGUCAAUUUAAGAUUUAAUUAUCAACCAACAAACCUCUUUAAAAAUAGAGUUUUUUUCCUUUCAAUUUUCACUCUUCAAAAUCAUACUACACAAUCCGUCUCAUAUCUAAUAUUUACAUGACUAUGUAAUUUAGGAAAAUCAUAAGUAAAACGGAUGAUGAACAACGACAACAAGAAAAUCUCACCUGAAAAGGUGAUAUUUUUCACCUAUUUGCAAAAAAAAAAAAAAAAAAUCUCACCUGAAAAGUAAGACUGAACUGAUUCGUGAAACCUCGUUUUGGCAAUCUCCGUCUGAGAGGAGUUUGCCCACCUUCAAAUCCACACUUAUGAGUCCCUCUAGCUUUCUGCCCCUUGUGUCCUCUUCCAGCCGUCUUCCCUUUCCCAGACCCGAUUCCUCGCCCCUUCCUCGUUUUCUGCUUCCUCCUCCCGGGACUAUCCUGCAGGUCGUUCAAAUUCAGUAAACUCGAGUACCCCAUUGCCAACAUUCUCACAACACCAGCACCAUGGCUGCCGCCGAAAAAUCCCAAGAUUCCAUUAUGGACAGAAAUUGGAGAUGGUGGGUGGAGUGGCAGGAGAGGACGGAGGGAACGAUUGGUUGAGAUAAAUUUGGUGAAGUUCUUCAACAUAGUUGUUGGAUGAUUAGGGUUCAGGGUUUAGAGAGAGAGAGAGACAAUUGGCGAAGCCGUUAGGAAGAGGAUGAUGGUGAGCGUUUUCCCGACGAUGUAUUGAACUUUGGACCGUUCGAGAAAGAAUCCGACAACCCGAAUAUAUUGUAAAUAUUUGAUGUUUAUGAGGGUAAUAGAGUAAAUGAACUCAGAAAAAGAUGGGUUUUCGAGGGUUAAGAAGAGGCAAGGACUUUUUUUUUGCCGUCAUUAGCUCUUCUCGGAUUUACUCGUGCGCGUCUCGCUCAGGGUUGUGGCCGAUUUUGUUAACAGUCAAAGGUAACACAGAUCUAGGGUUUCGUAUCUACUGCUGUUUGUUAGGGUUUUCCUAAACUUAUUCGAUUUGCAAAAGAAUCCAGCACGGCGAUCGUCGUUCAAAUAGUGUUUGGUUUCGGUCGGAUCCAUUUGUUAGGGUUUGGGUUUCCUUUUUUAUGCGGAUGGAAUCGGAUAAUUUUCUUUGAUUCUUAAUUCGUCGUGUUUCAGUUUGUAGUUUUUACGACUUUGCAGUGAUUUGUCGUGUUUUUGUUCGUCUAUUGCUUUCACUGUUGUUUAGACUUUAGAGUAAAAUUAAAACUUCUACUAUGUUUUUAUCUCCCAAUCGUAGCUUUACUAAAGCUGCUUCUUGUAUUGAGUUUGUCAAUAUUUAUGUUUGUUGUUUUUUAUGUUUGAAACUUUUAUUGUUUUUUUCCCCUUCGUUAUAAUCUUUUACCUGGAAAUGAAAGACUGAUUUUUUUUCUGGUAUUAUUCAGAUUCUGGAGAAUGUUUUGAUUUUCAUCUCUUUAAAUGGCAAAAAAGAAAAAUCCAACUGUGUUUCUUGAAGUCUCUAUUGAUGGAAAUGUGGCAGGAUUGUUGGAAUUUGAGGUAUGUAAUAAUUGAACUGACAUUUUCAAAAAAUAUUUAUUUUAUAUUACAUAUAUGUUCUGUCAAACUUGUCUCCGCAGCUCUUCUAUGAUGUGGUUCCCAAGACGGCUGAAAACUUCCGCGCACUUUGCACAGGUAAAUUAUCCUUGCUAUGUUCAGUUACUAGUUAUCCCACAAGAUUGCUGUUUAACUUGAUUUUAUACUGAUUGUGAUAUUUGAAUUUAUUUUUCCAGCUUGUUUUUGUUAUUAUGACAAUAUCAUUUACAUUUUCUCACGUAAUUUACCAUGUUCUAUAGGUGAAAAGGGGAUUGGUGUAGUAACUAACAAACCAUUGCACUAUAAGGGAUCUUGUUUUCAUCGAAUUAUUAAAGGUUUUAUGGCUCAGGUAAGCAACAUUGUUACCAUUUUAAGAUUUUUUUUGUUAAUGUUAUAUUCUAGGUAAUGUUUAUUUUUUGUUAACCUUGUUAUAUAUAACAAGCAAUUUAUCUAGUCACAUUUCACUAUGUUGUAAUCAUGUUGAUUGAUUUUCUUGUGAUAUUUAAUCCAGUAUUUUUCAAUAUUGCCCUAAUAAUGAUUUUUUCAUGUUUUGGCUCAUAUUUUAUUUUUAUCUGACUUAUUUUUCUUUUCUUUUAUAGGGAGGUGACUUUUCCAAACGCGAUGGUAAUGUCUAGUGCAAUGAGAAAUCAUUUUAUUAAUUUUUUUGUCAAUAAUAUGAUUGUAUUAUUUGUUUCCCAUAUUGAUAAAACUGCUGCUUUAGAGAUCAUGCAGCUCAAAGUAAAUCUCUUGCAAAUGAUAAUUAGCUAUGUUUGUCCUUAAUAGUACUAUUUAUGUGGAAUAUACUAACGAUAUUGUUUUUAUUUAUUGUUAAUAUGAUUCAUGAUGCAUUUGUUAGUAUUUUUUUAUGAUUUUUUUUAAUUCCAUUUGGUCUUCACUGUGAUAAAUUGAUUAAAUUCUUAUAUAAACUUACAGGAAGAGGUGGAGAAAGCAUAUAUGGUGGCAAGUUUACUGGUAAAUACCUUUUUCCUAUGAUUUUUUCUUUCAAUUUUUGUAUUAAGUUUUGACAAUCUGCUAAAAUUUCAUUUUUCUCAUACAUGUGUUUUCAUGUAAGCACUAUUGAGUUUUAUUGUUUGCUGAUAUAUUUUCUUCAAUCCAUUAGAUGUGAUUUUUUUGACAAAUAUUCUGCAAUAAAAACACGCCUUUUAUUCAUAUGGAUUAUGAACUUUAACAACUUCCACUAGUUUCUCUCAAUUAUUGGAACUUUUUGAUGAAAAAAUAGGAUCAUCAUGGCAUGACUGGUUGUGUACAGACAUUCAUCUGAUACUGGUCAACAAGUAAUUUUCUGUUCCAUACACUUCUUUUUGGUGAGUAAAUGAGUGAUAUUUCUUUGUCGACAAGAAUGAAAUUAGUUUACAUAUACAGAUUUAGUAGAAUAAAGUACUGCAUAUAUUAUUUGCAGUGAAAAGUAACCAGUAUCUCAAGGUGAUAAAAGGUCAACAUGUUACAGAUUUAUUCUGAUAUUUUUUAAUAUUUCAAUGGUUAGCAUUGACGGGUCAUUAUUAGUUUUUUGACUCUUAAAUUUAAAGAUAUUUUAAUUAAUAUUUAUUUCGCUGACAUGGUGUUCCUAUGUUUUAUUUUGGCUAUCUUAUUGUUUGUAGUUACAUUUUGAAAUUUGGAAGGUACGGACAUGAGAUAAAUUAUAUUUUGAAUAUGAACAUUAUUUCAACUUGAAAUUGUGCAAAACGCUGGAGUGUUUUAUUAUAAUUUAUUCAAUUUCAUGCUAAUUGCUAACCUCUUUUAAAUCUUUUUUUUUCAGAUGAAGGCUUUGCAAUAAAACAUGAUUCUCCUGGUCUUUUGUCUAUGGCAAAUACUGGUCCUGAUUCUAACAAUUCUCAAUUUUUUAUUACAUUAAAGGCUACACCGCAUCUUGAUGGGUAAAUUAUUUUAUCAUGAAAAUUAUGUUUAUUUUACGCUUCAUUUUUUCUUUUUGAAUUAUUUCUUUAUAAAUUAAUCGAACAAUUAGCCUCAUCUGUUUUAUUUCUUCUGUAUUUUUUAAUUUGGAAUGCUUAUGUUCAGGAAGCAUGUUGUUUUUGGAAAGCUUGUUCACGGCCGUGAAAUACUCAGGGAUAUGGAGCUUGUUGACACUGAUGAUUCUAAUAAACCUUUGGUUCCUGUGAAGAUUGUUAAUUGUGGUGAAGUUCAUAGUGGUAAAUCUGAAUCAUUGAUUGCUGAUAAAGGUAAUAAACUUAUACAUUUAAGUAUUUUACUGUAUUACAUUUCUCUGGACAGGUAUUUGUUUAAAAAUAAUUAUCUCGUCUGAAUUCUAAACGUCUACUGAUCUAUAUGUUAAUUGAGCCAGAUUAAGGAUCCUAAUAUCAGAAACAGUGUCAUGUGAUCAUUAUACUCUCUUAUGAGUUUAGUUUUCGUACAUUAUCGGUACCGAUAUAUCAAUUGGAAUGAUAUAUACUACUUGUACUCUAUGAUUUUUAGUUUCUUAAAUAUUUUGUCGCUGGUGUAGAUUGAUAUUGUUGUGUUUGGUAUGUUUUCAAUAGACCAGUUAUGAUCAAUAAUAUAAAUAAAAAUCCACACCAAAUCUAAUUUGGUAUAUAACAAUCAAUACAAAUGUAGUUUUUUCUCAUAAUAGUUUGUUUUCCUUUUUUUGCAGAGAAAAGAAAGCCAUCCAGGCAGAAAACAUCAGUCAAUGACUCAUCAAAUGAUGAUAUUCGUGAUGCGCGUAGGAAAUCGAAGCAUAAAAAAUCAUCUAGGUUGAAGAAAAAGAAAAGAAAGCGAUAUUAUUCUUCAGACACAGAAAGUUCAUCUCUAGAUUCAGAUACAGAAUCUUCAGAAUCAGACAGCGAUUCAGAUUCUUAUUCAUCUUCGUCAUCAUCUGAACUGAGCUCAUCAAGUGAUGAUCACCGAAGGAGGAAGAGACACUCAAAAAGAGAUAGAUAUAAGCGCAGUAAAAAAAGACGGGAGAGGAGAAAAGUGAAGAAACGUCGUAGACGUGAAAGACGUAAGCGCAGGUCAAGAAGGUUAGCAUGAACUGCUUUUUAAUUUUAAUUUUUACCCAGAAGUAGUUGUAGUUCUUUUUGUAAUUAAAUAAAUAUUUAUUAGGUAUAAGCAUUUGUGACUUUGCAAACAGUAGCAUUUAAUCAAUUCUAAUUCUGCAAUCUUAAUCUUUCUUUCACUUAGAUUACCUAAGGUUAAUAGUGAAAAUGUGGAUACAAGUGGUAGUAGCUCUGAAGAUGAUGGGGAUGAUGCCAGUGGGAAACGAAAAAAGAUUAAGGUGUCUUCUCAAACUGGUAUGGUGCUGAUUUAUUUUGUUAAAUAAAAUUACCCUAUAGCAUCACUUUUUUUUUGUCAAAUCAAUUUUGUAUAAUAAAUUUAGUAGAAUUUACUAAUAAAUCUAGUGGCUUUUAGCUUCUCUUUAUCACGUUUUUAAUAACCUUUUCCAAUGUAUUCAUCAAUUGUUUUGUCAAUUCUGAUGAAAGCAAUCCAUAAUUAUUUAAUUUUAAGAGAGACAGAAUAGGAUUCAAUUUUCAUUUCCCUACAUUUGGAAAAGGUCAUUGCUUCAAAAUUAAAAAUUUAACUGCUGCUAUAAAAUAUUUCCAGUUUUCAUUUAAUAAAAGCUUCAAUUUAAAGAAUAAAGCUUCAACUUUAUUUUCAUUCUUUGUUAUACAGUAUGUUUAUUACGUUUCCUACUAAUCUUUUCUUUCAUGAUGUAUACUUAGAUUUAUAAUUUUGUUUUCCCAUAUUUCUCUAGAUCCUCAUUCGUCAAUGGUAAAGAAUGAAAGUACUGUAGGAAAAAUGGCCUCAAAAGAAGAUGAUUUUUUAAGUAAAAAUGGAGAGAUGCGCAUGAAUGGGAACAUAAUUGAUGAUGAACCUGGCAAAAGUGGAGAUAAAGUAGUUGAAAACAGUAUUUUUCAAGUAAAAGCUAGGUUUGUUUACUUUUAUUAUAUUCUUGUCGGUAUAUUUAUACUACGUUUGUCUGAGAUUUGUAAUUUAUAUAAAAUUAAUAUUUAUACAUGGUUCAGAGAUCAUCAUCCUAAGCAGUCUGUCAGAAAUCGGAUCAGUGUCAGUCCCAAAGUUGAAGUUAGUAAGAGCCCUAGCAUUAGCGCGAACAAUCUUUCCAGUCGGAGUCCUUCCUCCAGAAGUCCAAGCAAAAGUCCAAUCCGUCCGUCUGCUAAUCGUAGCAGAAGCAAAAGUCUUAGCAAGAGUCCAUUAAGACCACCUGGAAGAAGUGUCAGUCGUGGUUCAAUGAGGUCCCUUUCACAUAAAAGUGACAGUCAAAGCCCUCUCCGACCCUCAUUUCGAAGAGCAGUUAAUAGGAGUCCACUUAGAGCUCCACAAAGAAGUCCUAGCAGAAGUCUUAGCCCUGUCCGCAGAAGUCCUAGCAGAAGUCUUAGCCCUGUCCGCAGGAGUCCACCUAGAAGAUUACGUUCAAGAAAAUCGCUUAGCAGGAGUCUAAGCCCUGUACGUAGGGCAUCACCUGUUGUUAAUCGUAGGAGGAGCCCUUCUAGAAGUGAAUCUCCAGACGGUUCCCCAAAACGCAUCCGUAGGGGCCGAGGAUUCAGCCAGCGAUAUUCCUAUGCAAGAAGGUACCGGACACGUUCACCUGAUCGAUCCCCUAUAAGGUCUUAUCGAUAUGGAAGAAACGAACGUGAUAGGUUGGUCAGCCAACAAAUAUAUAUUUUCCUUUAUAUCAUUGUUUAUAGAUCAUAAUCCCAAUGUCUAUUUUACUAGGUAUCCAAAUUAUAGAGGUUAUUCUGAGCGUUCACCACCUAGACGCUAUAGAAGUUCGCCUAGAGCUAGAACUCCUCCCAGGUUUGUCUUCUGCUGCAUCAUAUUUUCACCUUUAAGAUCGUAUAAUAAUUUUAUGUUGUCUUUUUUUGGGUUGUCAUAUGAGAUUAAUUAAAUUAAUAUGAUCAAGAAUUUUAGAUUCUCAUAAAUUCCAUAUUUCUUUCAGAUAUAGGGGACGUAGAAGCCCCAGUCGGAGUUUGUCUCGCAGCCCUCUUGUUUAUCGUAAUCGUACAAGGCGUGGUUAUAGUAGGAGCCCACCUCCACGCAGUGUUUCACCAUCAGAGCGGAGAAGGUCUAGGGUAACUAAUUAUGGACGGUCUAACAAAAGGACUAUCUCUAGAAGUCGUGACCCCUCAGGCUCCAGAUCAAGAUCCAGUUCACCAGUUGCGUCUCCAUCCCCAAAGCGUAUAAGUAAGGAUAAGUUAGGUAGCUCUCCUUCUACGAGUCCUGAUGGGAAAAAAGGCUUGGUUUCUUAUGGCGAUGGCUCUCCCUAAAUAGUGAUCUACUUCACUAAUGUUUUCUAUAAUUUCUGUACCUUGACUACUGUUUUCUUAUUCAUCGUCAGUUGUGUAAUUUGAAGCUAUUGUUAAAACUUUACUAGUUUACUUAUUUGAUCAUUUUCAACUAUCAUUGUGUUAUGAUAUUUUUCUUUCUUGGAUUUUAAUUCUUGUUAUAGUUUUUUAAUGAUUUGAAUAGGGAGCAAUAUAUGGUAAUAUUCAACUUAAAUAUCAGUUCUUAUGAUCCUAGUUAAAAUCUUUUGAUCUAUGUAUCUGAGAUUUUCUAUUACGGAUAUCAUUGAAGAUCCAGUGUUAAUCUUCGAUCUAUAUGAUGAUUAUACAGUUGUUUCAAUAGUUCGUGUACUUGUUAUGUUUCGGUUUAUUCUGGCAGGAUAUCCUUUUGGUCGAGUCCUUGGAUAGAGCUGAAUAUAUCUUCCAAAUGAUCAAAUGAAUAAUCAGGAAUUUUCAAUGUGUUCCUCCCUAAAAUCCUUGCUUCAAUUUUAUCAAAUUUGUGCUCUAUUUGAAGUUUGAAUCUUAGAUAAUAGUGUUUGUGGUUAAUUUGCUGACAGACCCAAUAAUUUCUAUAUAUUGAUUUUUUUUUAAAUAAUACUCAUUUACUGAUUACUAUUUAUUAUUUACUAAUAUUCAAUGAAUUAUGAUAAAAUUAUCACGGUGACUCGUGCAGUCCCACAAGCCGCCAGGUAUUGGCCUUGAUAUCCAUCAAACCCUAAAUCGAAACAGUGGGCGACCAGAAGAGGAGAAGAACACACUACUUUACGAAGAUGUGGAGAUCAACAAGUCUCCGUCUCCUCGUUCUCCAAUCCAAUGGACGGACCACUUCCAACUUUGCUGGAAGUCUUUCUUUCCACUCACGUUUCCUCUCAUCCGAUUCUGGUACGGAUGUUGAGUGGUGUGUGACAUGUUUAUGCCUCUUUUGAUUUCUUGAUAUGUGAAUUUUUGUUUUGCUAGAUGAUAAGACCGUGAAGAAGGAAAUCGUCGAGAAUGCCAUGCCAAAUCUAACUGGAUUCGAGAGGGAUGAGAUUGAGGUGCAUCGACAGGCAUUCUUUUCUUCAUCUGUUGAUUUUUCCUCACUUCCUGAUCAUAUCAACUAUGCAGGGAAACCAAAAUUUGGACGUGGAUGCUCCUUGUGGUUCGUUUGGAACAAAGGUUAGGGGUUUUUUCUCUUAUUUUUUAGCUUUAGGUUACUCAUGAAAAAAAUUAUUUUUUUUUUGUGGGUUUUGGUCUUUGGAUGUUGAAUUAAACGAAUUUUACAACACAUCUUCUGAUUAUGUUUUGUGAAAAUAAUCAAAUAUUUGUUGAAAAUGAUUUAAUCCAUCAGCAAUUCAGCUUCCUUGAUUGUGAAUAAUCUGUUGGGGUUAAAUUAUUAAAACAGUGAAUUUCAAAUCCCAACUCUUGAUUUAUCCAAUUAGCAUUUGUGUUUAUAUUGUAAUUCGGUAAACCUCAAUAUCUUUCACUAAAUGUGUUUCUUGCAUUCUUUUGUUGCCUUUUAGGAUUUUUUAAUUCAGUUCCUUUUAUUUUCUUCACAGGAAGUGUCUCCUGCCAUUCAAUCCUUUUCUGACAAAAGAAUAGCCGGGUGCCCUCUUAUUUUGUUUCUCAUGGCAAUGGUUCCCCCUAAAGAGGAGGGAUCCACUCAGUAAUGUCGUCUGCGAUUUUUUUCCUCGCUAUUUCUUGCCUGUGUUCUUAAAUUCUACUUCAUUGACUGUUGUCAUUUCAAGUUUUUUUAAUAAAUUUUAAAAAAUAGGUUAAUAGAUAAUAGUUAGAAUUUGGGAAUGGAGAAUUCUUACUAUUAUUAUUCCAUGUCAAUUUGACUCUACAUUCAUUCUUUGAAAUUGAUUCCAGCUUUGCAUUUUGGUGGUGGGUUGAUUGAUCACUGAUCAGAAGCAAAAUGAUCAUUGAAAGUUACAGUCUUACAGGACAGACCAUGUUUUUUAAUGACCAUGCUCACACAAGUUUUAAAAUUUGGUGAUCUCAUUCAAAUACAAAUCUUCUACACACAGAAGGAAGCAUAGAUGCAGCUAUUAACAUACCUAGUGUAAUUAGGUAAUUAUAAUUAUGAUUGCUUAGUUAUCAAUGCUCUAUAAAUAUUCAAUAAUGUAAUAAUUAGCUGAAUAAUAAAUACAAUUCCAUUCUUUUAUAUCAUAUAUUGUAUAGUUAUCAGCAGCAAUAACCUCAUCAAUCAUCAUAGAAGCUAAGCUUUUCUUUUCUUUUAAAUUUCAAUAACAUUAUGAUUGUUUUUGAAAAUCUCUUCUGUAUUAUGAAUGUAUUUUGAAUCAGCAGAUCUUGUUAUGAUUUUGCUUUGAUUGCAAUCCACAUAUGAAAUCAGAUGAUAUUUUAAUGGAUCAAUAAAAUUAUCUUGAUUUUGCAUUUUUGCUCAAAUUUUAAGUAGGAAUUUGCACAAAUUUUGAAACCAAAUGAUUUAUGAAUCAGAAAAAUAUUAUUUUAGGGUUACUUUUAAUCAGUUUUCUUGAAUUGUCAAUUAGUUUGAUACUAAAAGUAGAAAUGAUUGGAUUUGGAUGGUGAAAUCAAAUUAUCACAGUGAACUAACCUACAAUGGGCCUAUAAAGCAGCUGAACAUCAAGAUGAGUUGAAUCAGGGCACAGUUGGUUACAUAUGUAUUUACAUGGUUGGUUUUUUUAGCAUCGUGUCAAGUAUUGUUAUUUGUUAGUGAUAGUGGUCAAACCCUAAAUCGAAACAGUGGGCGGCGACCUGAGAAGAGAACACAGAACCGCACAAUGAUGUGGAGAAAUCUCCAGAUUCCAAAUCCACUGCGAUCUAAAACUCUCCGCCUCCUUCUCCUUCAAUCCAAUGGAGGAAUCACUUCCGACUGUGCUGGACGAUUCUUAGCUGGUCCUUCUACAAUUACCGCCCCUCUUCCUUUCCACGCACGUUUCUUCUCUUCUGAAUCCAGUACUGGUGCGAGCGUGUGACGGCCUGACGGGGUUAUCCUUCUUUUUCGUUCGUUUUCGUGAUAUGUGAUUUGUUUUUUUUAUCUUGCUAGAUGGGAAAUCCGUCAAGAAGAAAACAGUCGAGGAUGUCAUGCCGAAUGCCACUGGAUUGGAGAGGGAGGAAAUUGAGGCUGAGCUUGAAGUGUGUCGACUGCCAUUCUUUUUUGCUUGUUGAUUUUUCGUCACUUGUUUAUCUUACGUCCUAUUGUCGUUUCGAUGUUCGUUUUUCCAAUCAUGCAGGGAAAAAAAAGGUUUGACAUGGAUGCUCCUUGUGGUCCAUUUGGAACAAAGGUUAGGAUUUUUUCUAGAUUUUGGAUUUAGUACUUGCUAGUUAGUUAGUUACUCAUUAAAAAACAUUGAUUUUGCCUUUAGAAUGUUGAAUUAUAAAAAUUUCGCAUCCCAAUUUUUGAUUAUCAAUUGUGAUUUGUGAAUAUAUUGGUUAAAAUUGCUUACUUUUUUGCCAUUUUAAUACUUUAAUUGUGAUUUUUUAUGGCAAAACUAAGUUAUUGUGAAUAAUAUAUUGGGUUUUAAUUGUUAAAACACUGAAUUUCAAAUCUGGCUCCAGGUAAUUUAGUUCAUUCACUUCACUAUGAUAUGAAUGAUGCGAACUUAAACACAAUUCAUUCCCUUUUAUUAUGUUCACAGGAAGCGCCUGCUGUUAUUCAAUCCUUUUACGACAAAAGAAUAGUCGGUUGCCCUGGCGGUGAGGGUGGUAAGUUUAUUUGUUCACUGUGAUGGAAAUAUAUGAUUUGUAUGAACUAGAAUAAUAGUUGGUUGCUCCUUCUGUCGUCUUUGAAAGUCAUGAGUCAAUCCCACACAGGAUUAAAAUUAUUAUUUUUUCUUAUAAUUCAAUAGAGGAUGAGCAUGAUGUUGUCUGGUUUUGGUUGGAGAAAGGCAAGGCCCACGAGUGCCCCGUGUGCUCACAAUACUUUAUGGUAAUUUGAGAUUGUCUUAAAUAAUGUCUUCCAACAUACUUCAUGCAAAUCAACAGCAGACAGGAAGAGAGCUAAUAAGAGAAUGGCACUCUUCCAAAAAAUAUCAAUCUAGUAUUUAUUUUCCUUACUAUCAUAUCAUAAAUUUUUUUAAAUGUUUUGCAGUUGGAAGUUGUUGGGGCUGGAGGACCUCCUGAUGGACAUGGUGACGAUCAUGAUCAUUAAAUUACGGUCUGGUUUUCUUGAUCUCAAAUAAAGAAUGGUGAGGUCAGGCUGGCUGGCUGGAUAUAUAGAUUGCUAUUAGCUAGCUCCUGAUAAAAACUGCAUAGCCACCACUCAAAUGAGUUAGAGUUUUAUGUUUUAGUAAAUGUCUUUUUUUUUAAAAAAUUCCCUUUCCACGCCCGACAAUGUUUAUGGGUGAUUCUUUGUGCUCAUCAAUCAGUCAUUGUGUGAUGAUUGUCGACAACCAGUUAGUCAGAAUGCAAUUCGUAUAAUAUUCAAAUCCUGUUUCCAGACAAAUUUUGUGUAUGUGCUAUUAUAGAAGAGAGAUCUUUUUGGGUCUUCUUCCAAAUUCCAAAUUAUCUGGCAUGGCAUAUUGGCAUCUUUGAUUUGCAAAUUAAAGACACCCAACGUGUUGUUAAUUCUUGUCCUUGAAUUGAAAUGGUAAGUUUAAACUUUUGAAAUCCGAAAUAAGAUAAUUUUUUGUGGGAAAUUAUUUACUUAAUUUAGAAUUUUAGAUAUUUAGAAAAUGGAAUAGAAUUGAAAUCUCCUAGAAAAAGGGAAGUAACGUAGAAUAAAACUAUCUUGAACUAUUUUUGCAUCCAACGAUAUUAUCUUUUUAGUAGGAGAAAAUAGAAUUUCAGUAAUAAAAGAAAUCCAGGAAGACCACGAAGAACAAAGAAGAAUAAGAAAAGCUAGGAGUCUGACGAUUUCCACAUCCGAAAUAAUCAAGGAUUUCACAUAAAAAAGGUAACGGAAUAAUCAAUAAAUGAUUCCAUAGUACUUGUUUGAAUGCAGAAUUAGAAUUUAGAUUGGUUGGUUGAUUGAUUGAUUUUCUAUUGUAUAUUUAUUAUAGCGGUAGGAAAUGGCUGAUGGCGAAGAUAUCCAGCCUCUUGUUUGCGACAAUGGAACUGGAAUGGUGAAGGCUGGAUUUGCUGGUGAUGAUGCUCCCAGGGCAGUCUUCCCAAGUAUCGUUGGCCGUCCUCGUCACACUGGUGUGAUGGUUGGGAUGGGUCAGAAAGAUGCAUAUGUUGGCGACGAAGCGCAAUCCAAGCGUGGUAUUCUGACAUUGAAAUACCCUAUUGAACAUGGUAUUGUGAGUAAUUGGGAUGACAUGGAAAAGAUCUGGCAUCACACUUUCUUCAAUGAAUUACGUGUGGCACCCGAAGAACAUCCUGUUCUUCUCACCGAAGCUCCUCUGAAUCCCAAGGCUAAUCGUGAGAAGAUGACCCAAAUCAUGUUUGAGACCUUCAAUUCACCUGCCAUGUACGUUGCAAUUCAAGCUGUUUUGUCUUUGUAUGCCAGUGGACGCACAACUGGUAAGGGAAUUAAAGUCAUCAUGAUGAAUCCAAUAUUUAUUGUUGGAUUAACUACUUCAACUUUGGGAAUCUAUUUAUCUGUUUGCAGGUAUUGUUAUGGACUCAGGAGAUGGUGUGAGCCAUACAGUUCCCAUAUACGAAGGAUAUGCUCUUCCCCAUGCAAUACUUCGUCUCGACCUUGCCGGUCGUGAUCUUACUGAUGCACUGAUGAAGAUUCUGACAGAGCGUGGCUACUCCUUCACAACCUCGGCCGAGCGUGAGAUUGUCAGAGAUAUGAAGGAAAAACUAUCCUACAUUGCCCUUGACUUUGAACAGGAAAUGGAGACUGCCAACACCAACUCCUCAGUGGAGAAGAGCUACGAGCUACCAGAUGGUCAAGUCAUCACCAUCGGAGCGGAACGUUUCCGUUGCCCAGAGGUUCUUUUCAAACCAUCUAUGAUCGGGAUGGAAGCAGUGGGAAUACACGAGACUACCUACAACUCCAUCAUGAAAUGCGACGUGGAUAUCAGAAAAGAUCUCUACGGUAAUAUAGUAUUGAGUGGUGGAACAACCAUGUUUGCAGGCAUUGCAGACAGGAUGAGCAAGGAGAUCACUUCACUUGCACCCAGUAGUAUGAAGAUAAAGGUCGUCGCUCCACCGGAGAGGAAGUACAGUGUCUGGAUUGGAGGCUCCAUCUUGGCAUCUCUCAGUACUUUCCAGCAGGCAAGUCAAUUCAAUUCAAUUCAAUCCAAUCCAAUUCUAUGUUUUUUUGUUUUUGUUUUCAAACUCUUACUAACCUCCACUCCUUGAACACAGAUGUGGAUAGCAAAGGCGGAAUAUGACGAAUCUGGUCCGUCCAUUGUGCACAGGAAAUGCUUCUAAAAGAGACUUUCUGAUCAAUGGAUUUGGCAGAAGAUAUCAUUGUAUUAUGGAUUUAUUUAUGUAUCAAUGGAUGUCAAAUUAUAAUCCAUCCACUCAAUAACAUUUGUAUUAUAACUUCCUACAUGUCAAUGGAUGUAUUUUUUAAAUACUUACAUUCUUGUUGCUUCUCCAAAAUCUCAAUCUUCAUUCCAACCAGACCUACACCUAGGGUGUCAAAUAAAGCUCGGCUCAGGCUCGUUAAGCUCAUUAAGCUUAACGAGUCAAACUCGGCUCGUUAAGCUCGAUGAGAAGUAUAAAAAAAUAAAAAAAAUUAUAUUUAGAAAGAAUGUAUAUGUAGCACAGAUGGUAAAACGUUUGCUUGACAUGCAGUUCGACCCCCUAUGUCACUAAAAUUAAUUAUUUUAACCUGUAAGUUAAGUUCGAGCCUAAAACGCGAGCUUCGAGCCCAAGGUCGGCCAAACCAGGCUCGGCGAGCUCGAGCCUGGAUAACUUCUUAACGAGCCGAGCCUGACUUUAUAAGCAAAAGCUCGGUUCGGCUUGUUUGACACCCUACCUACACCAUUUGAAAGUUGAAACUCACUUCUGCUUCAUCUAAAAUUGAAUAUGAAAUAAACCAUUGUGGAGGGAGAGAGGUAGACUCGUCUCCAAAUAAAUAACAUAAGAGAGUAGUGCAAAUAAAACUACAAAAUUGAGAGAUUGUAUAUCGAUCCAUCUCUGCAUCUCUAUUGGCUCAUCAAGUCGCUUCCCUCCGAACCGUGUAGAGACUCAUCUCCAAAUGCAUAUUCGUUUAUGUUGUUGUUUUCGCCCAUUUCAAUAGUAUCUUCGUUAAUUUCAUCAUCGGUGUCGAAGUCCUCAAAAAUUACAGGUGAUGGUAUACUCUCAUCAAUGACUUCUUCCUCGUCGUCGUCAAGAAUCUGUAAGGACGAAAUUAGAAAAGCUAGAUCGAUCCACAUACAACUACUACUCUAUACAAUUGAUAAAUACUCACCCCAGCAAAAAUGAAAUCCACAGAAGUAGACAGUUGGAGCAAUGAUUCAAAAUUUGAGAUUCUUGCUUCGAUAACCUGUAGUUAAUGUACGGAAAUAUAACCAAAUACAUUGAAAUUCAGGCACGCAUUAAGCAUAGAAAUUUUAAAUGAAGUGAAAUGUGACCUGAUAAAGUGAAUUUAAUUUCGGCAAAGAUGAUUCUUGAGCAAUUAUACAGCUUGCACGUUGGACAAGCAAAAUUCUUAACCAUGGAAUAGCUGAAACAAAUAUUGAACCCCUGGAAAAACCACAUGAAAAACAAGUACGGCCGAUGACUAAGAAAAAUGAUAAUUCAAGGUGACAGUCAUUGUAAAUAACUAACCUUAGUUCAGUCAUGGAAAUAAGUGAAUUCAGGAGUUUGAGAACAUCUGAUGGGUUCAACUGUGAAACUGAGUUUGUGAUAACCUGUAUACCAAGAAGAACAAAUGCUACAGUUAAGUAAAAUAAUCAAAUCUGAUUUGUUUAAUGUUGUUGCAUGAAAAUGAAAAUGCCAUGAGAUGAUUAGUACAUAUACUUGCUAUAAACAAAAUAACAAAGAAAGAUGCAAUUAUCACCUUGUCAUCUCGUGAAUGCAAGCAUUGGAAAAGCAGUUGACGAUCAUCAGCGUUCAACGCUUGCUUCAGCAUUACAUGGACUGAAUCUGCACUAGGAACCUUGAUGUCAAUGGACAUUUCUCCUACAGAGGUGGUGUCUAUCUUAGAUUCUUCAAGUAAUCUCAGUUUUUCAAGUUUUUCCCCCAUGGUUGGCUCGUCCAUAUCGCAAUUUCUAUCUUCAAUUGACUCUUUAAAAUAAAAUAAAAUAAAAUAAAAAAAGGAAAAUUGAAUUCCAAGAAAUAGGUAGGUGAUCAAUGAAUUGAGGAUUGAGAGAAAACGGACGCGUACCAGUAUUAUCGGGGAGGGAACUUCCAGUGAACUCCAUGAAAAGUAUAGAGUAGUGUCGAUAAGAGAUGAAGAUCAGACGAGAGAAAAUGAUCAAGAGAUGGAAAUCAAAAUAUUCUUCAAAAUCUGUGAAUAAUAAUACAAGAAAAAAAUCAGCAAUUGUAGGUAAAAGAUUAUAUUGAACUACAAAACAUAAAACCAGAAUGACAGAGGAGGAACAAACCUAGAACCAAAAUUUCUAAAACUAAACGACGAUAGAAGAAGAAGAAGACUAGAUACCUAGGAAGAAACGGGAAACGAUGCCGGCGAUGAAAAUAACGGCUAAAAUACAAGGCGAGAUCAGCGAUCAGGUGAACGGCGUAACGACGGCAGAAGAAAAAAACUCGUUGGACUUCGCUCUUCUUAACCCUAUAAAAACCCUCUACUCCGUUCGCUCGUUGAUCAUUUAUAAUAUUACCCUCGUAAACAUGACAUAUUACAUAAUUAUUCGGGGAAUUAGGGAUGAAAAUUGAAAAUCAAGUAACAAUUUCAAACAAAACAUGACUAAAAUUUAAUUAUGUAUUUUUCCAACAUGACUAAAGUGUACAAGUAGAUGCUUAACGAUAAAUUGCAAGAAAUUAAACUACAAUUUAAUGUUUAUCUGGCGACUCGUCCGACAGCUUUUGCUCUGCUUCUGGCGUCAUCAUUUAGCACCGCUACUCUUCACAAAUCUUCUGUCAAUCCAGAAGAAACUCGAAAUAUCUUAGAUAGAAAAUUUGAAACGAGUUUGUUUUCGUAUACAGAUAAAAUAGAUAUAGAAAGAAAGUUCAGGAUUCUCCGGUUGCAAUAUAUGAGAACCUUCGAGCAGUGAAGAAUCUAUCAGUUCAGCGUAAUGAAGUUGAGACAAGAAAUCAAGCUUAUCAUCGGUCUACUGAGGAACACUUCGAUCUUCAUCAUAUCUAGUUUAACCUACAAAGAAGCAGCUCAAAACAUCAUUUUCUCCCACAAAUGACACCCAAACAACUAAUGCAAUUCAAAUCCCUUCAACCGCGUAGAUGGGAUCUUCUUCCUUACUGGCCGACCGCCAAUUACAUUCGUGUUGUCGUCUUCCUCCUGUUCAGCCACCGCGCUUGUACCCUCAGAUCUGCCCUGCUCCCGUUGAUGGUGAAUGUCAUCCAGGAUUGCCCCUUCAUUCAAGCUCUCUAUCACACAACAAGCUGAAACACGUCGCCUUGGAUCUAUAUUUUGUAAGGGAAAAGGUCGAGGACGGAGGACGGGAACAUUAUGGUCAAACAUAUUUCCGACACGAACCAAUGGGCCGAUAUACUUACAAAGGCACUUCCGCCAAAGGUUUUUUUAGCACUCCAGUCGAAGUUCGUCGGAGAGCCUCCCCGAGCUUGAGAGGGGGGGGCGUAUUGUUAGACAAAUAUAUCUUUAGGCUUAAUAAAAUACUGUUAGUUACAAAUGUAAUAUAAAUAGAAUUGCAUGACUCUUUACAACGGUCGGAUUGUAUUUUUGAUUUUCUCAAUACAAGAUUAGUUUUUUGAAAUCACACUCUGUUUAGGAAUUUAACAUGGUAUCAGUUGCUUCUUUAAGAGUUGAUUAUAACUAAUUAACAAGCGAUUUUGUUUCCCCAAAUCGCCCUUCUUCCCCAAAUUUAUUUCUUUUCUCAACGUGAUUCUUGAAGAAAAGUUCUUCCCUGACGUUAUUUCUGUUCUCAACGAUUUCGUCUGACGCGAUUCCAUGAAGCGUCUUCUCUGACGUUAUUUCUCUCCGUCACGAAGCGUCUUCUCUACGCGAUUCCACGAAGCGUCUUCUCUACGUGAUUCCACGACGUGCUUUCUCGUUUUGUGAUUUGCAAUUUGUGAGAUUCCUGCGAUUCUGUGAGAUUUGCGAUUCUGAUUUUGAAGGGUUGACCCCUGCGAGUCUGCACGCAAUCUUCUCAUCGUCACUUCUGCGUGAUUCCCAUUUCGCGAUGACACGAUUCCAGAUUUAAUUAAUUCCAGAUUUUCUGCACGGUCUAGAACGAGUUUUUCCGCGAUUCUUUAUCUUGAUUCUUCGGGCAGGUCUGAUUUUAUUUUAUUUUUCCCUUAGUAAAUUUUUUUCCCUGUGCUUUUACAUCAGACUAGUAUGUAAUCCGAUUCAUGUUCUUCUGGAUAUCCCAAGACCACCGAAUCAAUUCCAGAUUACUUGCAUAAGUGUCGCAAUGGAUCUACAUAUCUCCUUGAGCGAAGUGAUACUUAUCUAACCUGGAAGGCAUAGAUGUAGAAUCUUCUUCGAAUUCAUGACUUGACAUAUUUGAUUACUGAACCACUGAUUAUUCCCUCAGAAAAGCUUGCUGAUGGGUCUCUCAAUCCAGCUUUUAAAAUUUGGUGUCAAAAGAAUUGGAUUGUUAUAGGUUGGAUUCAGGCUGCAGACUGCAGUUGGGUCACCAAUGUUUUCCUUAGUAUUGAAUCACGAUACUACGUUAGAUUGUUGGAAGACACUCGAGCUAUAUCUUUCUCCACGCAAGAUAUGGUCCAUUCACAAAUUAACAAUUCGAGAUGAACUGUGUCAUCUAAAGAAAUUGGAUAACGAGACUAUGUGAGAAUUUAUCAUCAAAGUUCGAGCAUUGAUGGAUGGGCUAGAAACAUCAAGUGGUUGUUUAUCUGACAGAGACAAGAUCGAUUUUGUGAUUGAUGGUCUGGGUGUGGACCUCGUCCCUUUUUGUCAUGUAUUCACUCAUAGAAAAAAUAUGGUAUUUGAUGAAUUUAUUCAUCUUGUUGUUAAGGAAGACAUUUUUUUUCGUCGUUAAACAAAUCAAAACUCUGCAAUUAUCAACGAAUCACCAACAACAUUCGUCGCAAAAUCUAGAUUUUACAAAAAACAAGAAUUAUAAUAACCGCAACUCUGAUCAUCGUAAUAAAGAAUCAAACCACAAAAAUGAGAAAUUCAGCAACAAAGGUUCAAGUAAAGGGAGAUGGAGAAAUCCAACCACCGUAGUCUGUCAAUUUUGUGAUACUCUAGAAACGUGUAGGAAAGCAAUGGCAGCUAUAUGGAAGAUGAUGGCAAAGAUAACAACUGGUUGUUAGACUCUGGCGCCUCCUCACACAUGACUCUGGCGCCUCCUCGUACAGUAAAAUUCCUCUAGGUGUAAUACACAUGGAUGUUUGGGGUCUAUCACCCAAAACAUCGAUACAUGGAUACAAAUAAUAUCUAUUAUUGGUAGAUGGAUGUACAAGAUUUUCAUGGAUAUAUCCUCUUUUAUACAAAAGUCAGGUAUUUGACUGCUUUAAGGACUUUCAUAUAAUGAUUGAAAGAUCUUUAGAAUUACAGAUAAAAUCCAUACAGACUGACUGUGGAGGUGAGUUUCUCAACUCCUCAUUUUCUACGUAUUGCAAAAAUACUAGGAUAAAACACAAACUCUCAACACCCUAUGCUUCAGAACAAAAUGGAUAAUUAGUGGAAAUAAAACAUGGUCACAUAGUCUUUGUGGCUAGGUGUUUCUUCACACAAUUAAUCUGAAGUUCCAAAAGAGUAUUGGAUGGAAGCUUAUGCUGCUUCAGUUUACACAAUAAAUAGGAUUCCAUCUAGAACAUUAGGUUAUUCUUCUCCUUUAUCAUUAUUAUACAACAAAUUAGAAUUAGAGAUUUUGGAUUUUAAAAUUUGUUUAGGUUUGUAAAUAUGAUUUUAUUUAUCAAUGUAUUUCGUAUUUAUGUUUUAAAAGAUUGGAUUUGAGUUUUGUUAGGUUGUUUGAAAGGUUUUGAAAUUAGAUAUUACUUUUUUUAGUGUUAACGUUUUGAAUGAUUUUGAGUUGAGUUUAAGUUUUGAUUUUGUUAUAGGGAUUUUAUUAUUUUAAGAUUAUGUUAAUAAUUUAAUAUAGGAAUUUGUAAUUUAUUUUGUUAAAUUAAUGUUGUUAAUGAAUUCGAUAAAUUUUAUAUAUGUUGAUAUUGUUAAUUGUAAUUAUAUUUAUAUGUUAUUGUUAUUAUCUAACUAUUAUAAUUUAAAUAAUUAAAUUUUUUAAAAUUAUAUUUAAUUUAUUCUCGAUCAAAUAUUUUUAUAUAUUUAAAAAAUAUAUAUAUAUAAUUUUAAAAAAUAUAUUUAAAAUAUAUAUAUAUUUUUUAUAUUUCAUUAAUAAUUUGAUUAAAUAAAAUUUUAAAGUAACAAAAUAAAAAAUAACUAAAUUAAUUAGUGUAAUAUUAGAUCAAUAGUUAAUAUUUUUUAUUUAUAAUUUUAAAAUAAAAAAGAUUAAUAAAGAUUUUUGGAGGUGAAAUUCCAGCAAAAUAAUUUCCAAAAAAAUCCACAAAAAAAAUUUCCCGCCAAUAUUUUUAUAGAAAAUUUAAUUUCUCGUGAAAAUGUGAGUAUUGGUGGCGGAAAUCCGCCACGAAAAAUCUACCAUACAAUGUCUCUUUUUUUGUAGUUAAUCAUCAACAAUUAGGAUUGUGAUAUAAUUCCAAUCAGCUAUGAGGAAGUAUCAGAGUGUAUCCAGUCGGAGGGGGACAGUGAAAUCGCGGAAUCCCUAACUGGGGAAAGAUUGGGGAUGAACGACGACAGUCCAGAACAGCUUAACCGUGGCGAACCCGGUCAACCUUCCACAAGCAUGAGAGAAAGAAGUCGGCCCACUUGGAAGAUUACUUAAUGGGCUAGGGGAGGAAUUGGCCCACUUGAAGAAUUUAUGUUUGUUUUUAAAAUUGCUAAAUAGACCUUAAGUUUAAAUUUAAUGUUGUAAUAGUCAGUAGUAGAAUGUUUUAAUGAUUGGAAAAUCAGUAUCGAAAAUUGAACCAAAUAUUCCUGUUCUUGCGCAAACUUCCUCUCAAACCCUACAUCCGGCGUUGUGUCGAGUACCUCUCCACCCCUCCCAUCAAAAUCCGUCCGGUCUGCCUCAACUUCCAGCCGCAUUGAGCCCUCUGCUGAUUGGUUUAACAACCGUGAUCACCCAGAGCUAAGACUCAAUAUCAGGGAUAUAUUCCCGCCGUGAACUACCUUGGACACCUAAAAUCUCUGAUCUUAGAUCUAGGGCAUCAUCGACCUCAGGUCAAUUCGUUUUUAAAUUUGUUUAGGGAUUUAGAACCCUAUCACUGGUGCUUUCAAUAUUUGAUCUCUCAUUUCAGGAUGUCUACAAUGGAUUUAACAACGAAUCCAGACUUUCAAAGAUUACAGACACUACAAAUGUCUCAAAUCAAAGAGAUAAGCGAAUUCAGGAACAAUGUAAAUAACAAUUUCUUGGAGUUAGGGAGGCAGAUUAGUGAAAUUUGUUCCACACUCAAAGAAAAGCCACCAGAUACAAGUAAAAUCAAUCUGGAGAAUCCUGAAAUUGAAGGAAAUGCAAAAGAAAAACCUAAAUCACAUCAUCUAUUCUACCAGUCAGUGGUAGACUUAGAUAACCUGGAUUAUGCAAGUAGCAUUAUGAAUAAUGACUCUUAUGAACCGGCCAAGCACAUAAAGGUCAAUAUGCCAAGGUUCGAUGGCACUGAUGCAGAAGGAUGGCUAUUUUCAGUACGAAGGUACUUUAUAUUCAAUAAAAUACCUGAAGAUCAGAAACUGGUUAUUGUAUCAUUUCAUUUAGAUGGGAUAGCAAAGAAAUGGUUUGCUUGGCUUGAAGCAAGCAACAUGCUAUCAUUUUGGAAAAACUUUGUGGAUGCAGUUAUCAGGAAAUUCACAACUUGACACUACUCCCUACCUGGUGGCAAGCUAAGUAAACUAUGCCAAGAAGUUACAGUGGCUGAGUACCAAGCUCUGUUUGAAGAACUAUGCACUAGGGUAUUGGGCCUACCAGAAUAUUUUAUUUUAGAGAUGUAUAUUUCUGGCCUUAAAGAAGAAAUUCAGCCAGAAGUGAUUUCAAAAAAGCCAUCUGAUAUUCAUGAAGCUUUUGAGCUAUCUCUCAUAUUUGAGGCAAGAAAACCAAGGUUUAAAGGCAGCAACAAGCCUUUCUAUACAAAACCAUUCAUACCAAAGACUACACCAUUCAGUUUCAAGCCUGGCCAAAUAGAAGUAACCCCAAAGGAAGCUAACAUACAAAAACCUGUGUUUAAAAGACUAUCUCCUGCUGAAAGAAAGGAGAGAACUGCAAAAGGGUUAUGUUUUAACUGUGAUGAUAAAUUCAUUCCGGGUCACAAGUGUAAAGGAAAUUUUUUCAGAAUGUCGACAGAUGAAUUUUAUUUUUAGGAGGUGGUUGAUGAAGAGGAAACUGAGGAGGAACCUGAAAAUAUAAGUUCUGAGGAUCGGGAAAUCAGCUAUCAUGCAUUUGAGGGUCAUAUUAAUGCCACUACUAUCAGACUAGAUGGGUUCAUAAAAAGUCAGUGUGUGAGUGUUCUAUUAACUACAGGCUCAACACACAACUUUAUGCAAACUGAGGUAGCAGCUGCACUAAAAUUAGUUCCUCAUGUCAUAGUACCAUUUAAAGUAUCUACGGGCAGUGGAAAAUUGAUCUGUGAGGCUGUUUGCAAAGAGGUAGAGAUUAAAAUUCAGAACACAAUUGUAAAAAUGGACAUUUUUCUACUUCAGAUGGAAGGAGCCAAUGUGGUGAUUGGGAUUCAAGGACUGAAAUCUUUAGGACCAGUUACUUUUAAUUUUGAUGAUUUGAAUGUCUUUCCUAAAAGAAGAGAGAUUAUUUGGCAGGGUUGUCCAUGGGAUUCUGAAGACCUCCUAUCUGUGGGUAAGUUAAAGUGUCUUAUUGCUUCAACACAAGAGGCUUACUUAUGUUAUAUGGAAAGGGUAGAAGAAAACGAGAAAGUUCCCAUUUUGAAUUCUAAUAGCCAAGAGGUAACUGAAAUUGUACAACAGUACACUGAUAUUUUUGAAACACCAACAAGGUUACCACCACAAAGGGACAGAGACCACUUUAUACAUCUUGAGAAUAAUUCCAACCCUAUCAAUGUGAGGCCUUAUAGGUACCCACAAUUUAAGAAAUCAGAGAUUGAAAGGUUAUAAGUUGCUGAAAUGAUGACUCAAAAAAUUAUCAAGCCCAGUACUAGUCCCUACUACUCCCCAGUACUGCUAGUAAAAAAGAAAGAUGGGGUUUACAGAUUAUGUGUGGAUUAAGAGCAUUAAAUGCCCUAACUAUCAAAGAUAAGUUCACUAUCCCUACUGUGGAUGAACUCCUUAGAGAACUUAAAGGAUCUAUUUUUUUUCAAAAUUAGAUCUAAGAUCAAACUUCCACCAGAUUAGAGUCCAUGCUCCUCAUACUGAAAGGACAGCAUUCAAAACUCAUCAGGGGCACUUCGAAUUCUUAGUGAUGCCAUUUGGGCUCACAAAUGCACCAGCAACAUUUCAAUCGGUUAUGAAUUCAGUUUUUGCUAAAUAUUUGAGAAAAUUUUGUACAAUCAAAAUUGUCGAUAUAAGAUUAUAUUUUAAUUCAUGUCAAUUUAAACCCUAAUUACACUAUUAAUCUAUAGGGGUUAAAUAAGUCAAUCGAUAUUAAACCUAACUCCAAUUAAUUAAUUAAUCAUUUGAGUUAAAUGUUUAAUUCAAAGUUAAAAGUCAAAUUGGAAUAAUUGCAUCUUUACCUUGAAUAUUAUUAUUAUUAUCUUUUGACUCUUUAUUCAAGGUAUAAUAUUUCAAGGGGACAAAACACUAUUCACGUUUGAAUUUUUUCAAAGAUAAGAUUCUCCAACAAACACUAUUCAAGAUAAGAUCAAAGGCAAAGCUUGGAUUUAUGUGAGAAAUCAAAGAGCCAUCCAUUGAAGAUCCAAGGGUGGACAUUGAGUGGCCAAGGCUAUAAAUAAAAAGGUAUUCCCCUCAUUUUCACUCACCACACUACAAGCAAUCAAAGAGUUUUCACUCCACAUUUGAGAUCACACGUUUUUGCCUCCAAGCUUCCAAGCAUCCAAAGUGCUCAAGUGUCCUAGCUUUCUAAAGUUUCAAAAGCUCUCCAACUUCUUCUUCUAAUCUUCUUGUUCAUCUCUACAAGUAAGAAGUGUUGUUUGCUUAAAUAUUCCACUCCUCUAAUCACCUCUUGUAUGUGUCCACUUUGUUCGAGAGGUUUCCGGGAUAACCUCUAAUAAUCAAAAAGCUCUAAGUUUGGUUUUAUAGAGUUUCCGGGAUAACUUUUAGGUCAAUCUACCUUGAAAGAUUUCUAGGUUCUUAAGAGUUUCCUUAAUUGAUGGCCAAACAGAAAUUGAUGGCCAAACAGAGGUAAUGAACAGAACGCUGGAGAUGUAUUUAAGGUCUUGUUGUCAUGAAGACCCAAAACAAUGGUUGGGGUUACUACCUUGGGCAGAAUUGUGGUAUAAUUUAAGGUAUCACUCAUCACUUGGAAUGACUCCAUUUAAGGCAGUUUAUGGGAAAGAAGCUGAUGAACUACCACAUUACAAUGCAAGGGAAUCUCAAAUUGAAUCAGUAGACACCCUAUUGCAAAUCAGGGAGGAGGUUCUGGAAAUUAUGAAAAAAAAUCUAGCAAAAGCACAAGCAAGGAUGAAAUCACAAGCUGAUAGAAAAAAGGUAUGAUAUCACAUUUAAAUUGGGAGAUUGAGUGUUGGUGAAACUUCAACCAUAUAGACAAAUAUCAGUAGCUAACAGGAUUCACAACAAAUUAUGUCAAAAAUAUUUUGGACCUUAUAAAGUGGAAAAAAUAAUAACAAAGCUGCAUACAGACUCAAGCUACCUGAGGGAAGCAAAAUUCAUAAUACUUUUCAUGUCUCAAGAUUGAAGGCAUUCAUAGGUCCAAUUCCAGAAAAUUCGAGCAAAGGGGAUCCUGUAAUUUCUGUCCAAAACCAACCAAUUACAUACCCAUUAGCAAUACUGGAAAGGAAAAAGUAAAUCAGAUACUAAUUCAAUGGAAUGGAGCAUUACCUGAGGAUUCUUCUUGGGAGUCUAUGGCGGACAUGGCAGCGGCAUUUCCUUCUUUAAACCUUGAGGACAAGGUCGUCUCUAGAGGGGGAAGUGAUGAUAUAAUUCCAAUCAACUAUGAGGAAGUAUCAGAGUAUAUCCAGUUGGAGGGGGGCAGUGAAAUCGCGGAAUCCCUAACUGGGGAAAGAUUGGGGAUGAACGACGACGGUCCAGAACAGCUUAACUCUGGUGAACCUGGUCAGCCUUCCACAAGCAGCAGUAGACCUGCUAGGGAGAGAAAGAAGCCGGCCCACUUGUUUAAUGGGCUAAGGGAGGAAUUGGCCCACUUGAAGAAUUUAAGUUUUUUUAAAAAAAAUUGCUAAAAAG
rnacentral:lncRNA from 1 species